rnacentral:rRNA from 1 species
UACGGAGGGUGCGAGCGUUGUCCGGAAUCACUGGGCGUAAAGGGCGCGUAGGCGGCUUGGGAAGUCUGUGGUGAAAGCUCGUGGCUCAACUGCGAGUCGGCCAUAGAUACUCCUAAGCUCGAGUCGACUAGAGGCAGAUGGAAUUCCGGGUGUAGCGGUGGAAUGCGCAGAUAUCAGGAAGAACACCAAUGGCGAAGGCAGCUCUCUGGGACGGUACUGACGCUGAGACGCGAAAGCGUGGGGAGCGAACAGG